rfam:Gorilla gorilla gorilla genomic chromosome, chr18, whole genome shotgun sequence
CCCUGGUCCAAAGAUAGUUGUCUCAACUGAUCGUUCACGAUCAGUUACAGAUCAAACUCCUUGUUCUACUCUUUCCCACUCUCACUACUGCACUUGACUCUUA